ACCCACCUUUGACAUGUACGGAAUCCUUUAGAGAUAGAGGAGUGCUCGAAAGAGAGCCGUAACACAGGUGCUGCAUGGCUGUCGUCAGCUCGUGUCGUGAGAUGUUGGGUUAAGUCCCGCAACGAGCGCCAACCCUUGUCAUUAGUUGCUACAUUCAGUUGGGCACUCUAAUGAGACUGCCGGUGACAAACCGGAGGAAGGUGGGGAUGACGUCAAGUCCUCAUGGCCCUUAUAGGUGGGGCUACACACGUCAUACAAUGGAUGGUACAAAGGGUCGCCAACCCGCGAGGGGGAGCCAAUCCCAUAAAGCCAUUCGUAGUCCGGAUCGCAGUCUGCAACUCGACUGCGUGAAGUUGGAAUCGCUAGUAAUCGUAGAUCAGCAUGCUACGGUGAAUACGUUCCCGGGCCUU
rnacentral:rRNA from 1 species